AACGCACCUUGCACUUUUCAGGUAUUCCUGAAAAGUAUGCCUGGUUGAGUGUCUGUGUAUCUCUCUCCCAACGCACUAUUGUCUGUGCUGGAAGGACAGAUGGAGUGUCUCGCUAUGAUUGAUUGAUUAUAUUGUCAUCAUUAUUAGCGUACUCUUGCAACACAGCAAGCUCCCCUACCAGUGUUGGAACAUGUGUCUGACCCCGGAGGUUUUAUUUUGGCGUCGUAGCUAACUGAUUUCUAGUUUGCCUAGCGCCUAUUCAAACUUAAAACCACUCAAUCCGCAGUCCGUGUCUUCCUAUACAAAAGCACUCGAGGGGCGAAGCUUGAAACAACCCAAAAACAACAAGCAAAGACAGACAAUCAUAUGUCGUCUCUGCUGAACAUUUGGACCUCAACUCAGGUAGGACUACCCGCUGGACUUAA
rnacentral:misc_RNA from 1 species